GGAGUUAGCCGGUGCUUCUUCUGCGAGUAACGUCACAGAUGUAAGGUAUUAACUUACACCCUUUCCUCCUCGCUGAAAGUGCUUUACAACCCGAAGGCCUUCUUCACACACGCGGCAUGGCUGCAUCAGGGUUUCCCCCAUUGUGCAAUAUUCCCCACUGCUGCCUCCCGUAGGAGUCUGGGCCGUGUCUCAGUCCCAGUGUGGCUGAUCAUCCUCUCAGACCAGCUAGGGAUCGUCGCCUAGGUGAGCCUUUACCUCACCUACUAGCUAAUCCCACCUGGGCUUAUCCAUCAGCGCAAGGCCCUAAGGUCCCCUGCUUUCCCCCGUAGGGCGUAUGCGGUAUUAGCAGUCGUUUCCAACUGUUAUCCCCACAAAUGGGCAAAUUCCCAGGCAUUACUCACCCGUCCGCCGCUCGUCAUCUUCAAAAGCAAGCUUUUGAAAUGUUACCGCUCGACUUGCAUGUGUUAGGCCUGCCGCCAGCGUUCAAUCUGAGCCAGGAUCAAACUCUGA
rnacentral:rRNA from 1 species